GACGAACGCUGGCGGCGUGCCUAAUACAUGCAAGUUGAGCGCUGAAGGUUGGUCCUUGUACCAACUGGAUGAGCAGCGAACGGGUGAGUAACGCGUGGGGAAUCUGCCUUUGAGCGGGGGACAACAUUUGGAAACGAAUGCUAAUACCGCAUAAAAACUUUAAACACAAGUUUUAAGUUUGAAAGAUGCAAUUGCAUCACUCAAAGAUGAUCCCGCGUUGUAUUAGCUAGUUGGUGAGGUAAAGGCUCACCAAGGCGAUGAUACAUAGCCGACCUGAGAGGGUGAUCGGCCACAUUGGGACUGGGACACGGCCCAAACUCCUACGGGAGGCAGCAGUAGGGAAUCUUCGGCAAUGGACGAAAGUCUGACCGAGCAACGCCGCGUGAGGGAAGAAGGUUUUCGGAUCGUAAAACUCUGUUGGUAGAGAAGAACGUUGGUGAGAGUGGAAAGCUCAUCAAGUGACGGUAACUACCCAGAAAGGGACGGCUAACUACGUG
rnacentral:rRNA from 1 species